CGUACUUCAGGGAUCAAGUGGAAUUGAUGCAUUUGAAAGGCACUUCCCAUUUGAUCAUUUGUUAUGGUUGGAUUAAGACAUAUGACAAAGAGCUUGCAGUAUCUAUUUGCAGUAACUACUUUAGGGCUGCAGAGGAUCUGAAGCUAUGCUUUUGUGAUUAUUUUCAUUCAAUAAUCCAAGAAAAUUCUGUUGACACGGAUAAAGUUGAACUUUAUACAAAGAUCAAGCUUACAAUUUGCUGCUUGCCUCUACGUACAUAAAAGAUUUAUGUCCUUCGAAGAGUUCGCCGCAGAGAAUUGUAUGUAUAGUUUAUGAACUUGAAGGAUGGUGAAGUGCUCUAGAAUACAAUUUCAGCCUGCCUUGCAUAAUCACUUUGUACAAGUAGAAUCCUUAGCCUGCAUGACA